UACGUAGGGCGCAAGCGUUGUCCGGAAUUAUUGGGCGUAAAGAGCUCGUAGGCGGCUUGUCACGUCGGGUGUGAAAGCCCGGGGCUUAACCCCGGGUCUGCAUUCGAUACGGGCUAGCUAGAGUGUGGUAGGGGAGAUCGGAAUUCCUGGUGUAGCGGUGAAAUGCGCAGAUAUCAGGAGGAACACCAGUGGCGAAGGCGGAUCUCUGGGCCAUUACUGACGCUGAGGAGCGAAAGCGUGGGGAGCGAUCCGG
rnacentral:rRNA from 1 species